rnacentral:lncRNA from 1 species
CCAUUUGUGGAGGGCACAUGUGUGGAGCUCGGGGCUGUUUCUCUUCCUUCAUCAUUUGUUCCAAGGAUCGAACCCGGGUAGUCACAGUUGAGAGUGAUUGCCCUUACCUCAGCCAUCUCACUGACCUGGUUUUCUAAUCUCUUGAAUUGCCUUUUGAAAUCCUUUACAACAAGCUCUCGAGAUGGGAUGGCUCCCCCUCUCCCUUCACAGAAGGCACAGAAAGAAACAGGGGCUUGCACUGGCAGGUGAGAGAGGUGCAUUGGAACCCUGGAACAUCCAUCUCAACUUUUCCACAGUGCUCAGGAAUGGAUGGAAAAGACGGCAAAGUCUUCCUAGCCACUAUUCAUGGAUAGUAGGUGAGUGUCACAAAGCCGCUGUCCUGCUGCCCACCUGGCAGCUCCACAGAGCUGUGUAUCCCUGAGCUGAGAUGGUUGUGCACACAGCUGCCUUGCCUCUUGUAGGCACUCUGUCCAAGAGCUGGAGAACCCUGAAAGGGGGAGGGAGAAUGCACUGGAGGGCUGGAGACCCGCCUGGUGCUUCUGCCUGCCCGUGUAGGUGGCUGAGGAGGGACUACGUCAGAGGGCUGGCUCCUGAACUUCUGACCCGCUGGGUGUUCACAGAUGGCUCUCUGCAAGGGCAGGAAGGGCCUCACGCUGGUCCCUUGCCAGGGUGCUGCUACACACAGAGCCUGGACUGUUCCCUCCCAAGCUUCUUCCCUGGGGACCUGGGAGAGGCCAUGUGGCUGACAGAGCAGACCCUUCUAGCUGAGCUGCUUUGGGAUGUUCCUGCCACAUGUCUACAGGCAGAGACCUGGGACCUCUGCCUACUCAGAAGGGGCCCUGUGGUCACACUCCGCCCCGUGGCCUCAGAUGUUGGACAGCUGACUUUUCUAUUCCUUUGGAGAAAAGAUCUGGAUUCCUGCUUUCUGUCAUAUGUGAAUUCAGCCUCAGCCUCCAGAAAGCUUCCAACUGGCCCCUCUCCAUGGAACUAGUCUGGUUCACCGUGCUUCAGAUCCUGCCAUCCACGGCGACUCAGCCUUUGGGUGGCUCUGUGCUGCACGUCACUGCUCUAACCCUAGAGUGAGCUGAGAAAGCAUCCUCCUAAUUACAAGGUUCUUCUGAAGCAGUAUGUUACCUUAGCGCCAGCAGCUCGCACGUCUCACAUGCGACUCCCACCACGUCACUGGAACUCUUCCAAGAGCCACAUGGAGUGGCUGGCCCAUUGAAUGGACUGUUCUUUUCUGCAACCCCAUUUGGUUUCAUAGCAGUGUUUCUUCUUUCUUUCCCCUUGGAACCUUGGGAAAUCCCCCCAAAGAUGAGAGCCCAUGAGCUCUCAUCUCAUUGGCUGGCACAGACUGGCCAAGAGUGCUCAUCAGUGAAGGUUGAGCAUACAUGUUCAGUCAUCGCGCGUUGAUUGAGUGCUGUAUGUGCAUGGAUGCAAAGGUGAGCCUCUGAAGGACUGCAGAGACCAGUGAAUGAAUAAACAAAUCCGUGACUUCAAGACUCGUCUUCACUCCCGGAUGCCGUGAGGGCCCAGGGACUAUCUCUACCCAUCAGAGACAAAGGGACACCACGUCCAGGCACGGCGCCCUCUUGUCUCUGAAUCUCACUCUCCCCACAUGGAAGAUGGGGCCAGCGAUUACCAACUUCCUGGGCCAUGGGGGGUUCAUCGUGGAGCUGGUGAACCCCCUUCAUGCUCUCAUCUCUCCUAGGGCUGUUCAUGAGGUCAUUUGUAGUUUGCAGACACUACGGAGUCAGGCUGUUUUCUUGUAAAGAACGCUCCUGCGAUGGCUAAUCUUCAUUGUCAACCCCACAGAAUGGAAAAUCACCCGGGUACAUCCAUGUCUGCGCCCAUGAGGCUGUUUCCAGAGAAUUUAACUGAGGAGGGACAACCUGCCCUGAACAUGGGUGACACUGUUAUUCUUUUGUUUAAAAAGAAGAAAAGAGAAAUAUUGAGAUGGACAUAUUGACUAUAAGUUUAUUAUAAGGACCGGCAGAAUGGGGAGACUAAGAGGAGGAACAGGGUAAUGGCUGACCGCCAUGGCCGGUCGCCAUAGAGAGACAGAGCGGGGAAACAGAGAGAGGGGACAGAGAGCAGGAACAGGGAGGAGAGAGAGAGAGAGAGGGCAGGGGCCUAUCUUUUAAAGGGGUCCUCUGCACCUGCGUACAGACUUCUUUCCCAUGGAACCUUGGGCUGACCAGGGUAUUGCCUGAGUGGAUUCCACCAGGUAACAGGGGCAGGCCAGCAUAAUGCCUGAACCUUUCAGACACCAUCUCAGGUCAGGGGUUCCAGACUAAAUUAAAAAACAGACAACAAUCUGAGUGCUCCCUGACCUCUCUUUGUGUCCUGACUACAGAUGUCACCAGCUGCUUCUUGCUCUGGGUGCCCUAACUGGAAGUAGUUCUCUCAGCCAAGCCUCCCACCAUGAUGGACUGUACAUCCUCAGUCUUUGGGCCAAAAUAAACCCUUGCUGCAUUACGUUGCUUUGGUCAGUAUUCUCUCACGGCAACGAGAAAAUUUAGGAGUCCCUAAAUGCUCUAAGUAUCGGACCCCACCAAACCUGAGCUGGCUACUGCACAGAGCCAUGGUUAAUCGUGAGUGACAGGAAAAGGGGCUUCAAGGUGGAGGUAUCAUCCAAACUUGCUGUUUAGGGACACAUGAAGGGCUUUGGGAUCACAGAUGCUCCCUGGAAUUUGCAGGAGUACCACUGUGCCUUCACUAGUGACUUGGGAGGAUAAAAAGGACUACACCUCGUUAGUCUCUUGAGAUGCACAAUUUUAAAG